AGUGGCGGACGGGUGAGUAACGCGUGGGUAACCUGCCUUGUACAGGGGGAUAACAGUUGGAAACGACUGCUAAUACCGCAUAAGCGCACAGUACCGCAUGGUACAGUGUGAAAAACUCCGGUGGUACGAGAUGGACCCGCGUCUGAUUAGCUUGUUGGUGGGGUAACGGCCUACCAAGGCAACGAUCAGUAGCCGACUUGAGAGAGUGAUCGGCCACAUUGGGACUGAGACACGGCCCAAACUCCUACGGGAGGCAGCAUG
rnacentral:rRNA from 1 species